CACGGAGGGUGCAAGCGUUGUUCGGAAUCACUGGGCGUAGAGCGCGUGUAGGCGGCUUGGCAAGUCGAGUGUGAAAUCCCAGGGCUCAACCCUGGAACUGCACCUGAAACUGCCUCGCUGGAGUCCCGGAGAGGGUGGCGGAAUUUCCGGUGUAGAGGUGAAAUUCGUAGAUACCGGAAGGAACACCAGUGGCGAAGGCGGCCACCUGGACGGUGACUGACGCUGAGACGCGAAAGCGUGGGGAGCAAACAGG
rnacentral:rRNA from 1 species